rnacentral:rRNA from 1 species
AUUGAACGCUGGCGGCAGGCCUAACACAUGCAAGUCGAACGGUAACAGGGAUCAGCUUGCUGAUUCGCUGACGAGUGGCGGACGGGUGAGUAAUGUCUGGGAAACUGCCUGAUGGAGGGGGAUAACUACUGGAAACGGUAGCUAAUACCGCAUAACGUCGCAAGACCAAAGAGGGGGACCUUCGGGCCUCUUGCCAUCGGAUGUGCCCAGAUGGGAUUAGCUAGUAGGUGGGGUAACGGCUCACCUAGGCGACGAUCCCUAGCUGGUCUGAGAGGAUGACCAGCCACACUGGAACUGAGACACGGUCCAGACUCCUACGGGAGGCAGCAGUGGGGAAUAUUGCACAAUGGGCGCAAGCCUGAUGCAGCCAUGCCGCGUGUAUGAAGAAGGCCUUCGGGUUGUAAAGUACUUUCAGCGGGGAGGAAGGGAGUAAAGUUAAUAGCUUUGCUCAUUGACGUUACCCGCAGAAGAAGCACCGGCUAACUCCGUG